rnacentral:rRNA from 1 species
GUGGGGAAUAUUGGACAAUGGGCGAAAGCCUGAUCCAGCCAUGCCGCGUGUGUGAAGAAGGUCUUCGGAUUGUAAAGCACUUUAAGUUGGGAGGAAGGGCAGUAAGUUAAUACCUUGCUGUUUUGACGUUACCGACAGAAUAAGCACCGGCUAACUUCGUGCCAGCAGCCGCGGUAAUACGAAGGGUGCAAGCGUUAAUCGGAAUUACUGGGCGUAAAGCGCGCAUAGGUGGUUUUGUAAGUUGGAGGUGAAAUCCCCGGGCUCAACCUGGGAACUGCCUCCAAAACUGCAUGACUAGAGUACGGUAGAGGGUAGUGGAAUUUCCUGUGUAGCGGUGAAAUGCGUAGAUAUAGGAAGGAACACCAGUGGCGAAGGCGACUACCUGGACUGAUACUGACACUGAGGUGCGAAAGCGUGGGGAGCAAACAGGAUUAGAAACCCUUGUAGUCC